UUAUCAACUUUUUUCUUAAGUUAAAAAUUAAUCUGCGCAAAUAGAAGAAAUUAUAAAGGAAAAAAUACAUUUUCCUAUCUAAAACAAUGACGAGCUGGCCAAUCAUUACCAUUUCAUUCUUCCGAGGAAUGGCUGGAGUUAGCCAGUUUUAUAACUCCUAUGUUGUUAAACCCGACGUGUAAACGAAUAUUUUAUGGGCAGAAUUACAAAGGAAAAUGUGUGUACAUUAAUUCGACUCAUUUGAUUCUCCUUUACAUGCGAUGUUAUUGAUAUGCAUAUUAUUAAAGGCCUUCUACAUUCGUGAGUAAUUUUAUUUUUGUCUUGCAUCGAUAGCAGAUCACAUUGAUUAAUACAGAGACAAAUUGAUUAUAUUACAAGAAAUACUGCACAAGCAAAAUUUUUUUUGUUAUACGCUUGCGAUACGUAUGUUUCGUUUUUUAUGCACAUAUACACAUAUAAUGCAAAUAAUUAGCUUGAGGAAUUCCUCAAGCUAUAACAGAUACAAUUAACACAGCAUUGUAUAAAAGAAAUAAAUAAACUUAUAUUAUCGUUCGUUGAUAAUUCACAAUUAAGAGCAACUUAUAUUCUAACAACAAAUUAAAUAAUUAUAUUAAUCUAUUUUAAUCCAUACUAAAAAACAAGAAUACAAAACGCAUAUGUACAUAAUGCAACAAGAGUGCAUAAUGCCCUCUUCUCAUUAUCGUCCUUCGCAAUUGUAUUUGUAACAGAAUAAAUAUGUUUCACGCGAUAAUUGGAAUGCUCCUUUGUUGAUAUACGUCGAAGAUUAGAGAAGUAUUGACACAGAUAUUGACUAAAAUUCAGCUGUCAUUAAAUCUGUAUUACUAACAACUGCUAACGAUAUCCAACUGGUGAUUGCGACUGCGAUUAGCAAUUUACGAAAUAGAGUGCAUCCGAUCCUCCGAUCGCCAGUCGUAAUCGCUAGUUCCUGUGCUCUAAUCGAUGGAUUGCGAAUUAUAGUCGCAAUUGCCAGUUGGAUUGUCAUUAGCAGUUGCUGUGUAAUACAAGCUUUACGACUAUUCUAUCUAUUAUUAUAAUUUUUUUCCUGUAUAGUGACAAACAUUGAAUCAACAUGUGCACGAUUAUCCAUAGCAUACAAUAUACAAUAUGUGCACUUGCGGAUGCACUCAACAAUAAAUACAUGGUAUACGAGAAUAUAACAAGUACAUUUCUUUGUAGCUAUGUUUAUUGCUGUAUGUUGACAUCUGCCAUAUCCUUACAAGCAAAUUGACACUUUCUGUGAAAUGAUUAGACGUUCUGACGUUCCAUUUAAUUACUGAAUAAGGAUAUGACAGGUAUCAUAUCCUUACAACCAAUGUUUUUUCAAUUACAAACUAGAACAGUGUUUCCCAAUAUUUCUGAGAUAUAUAUAUAUAUAUAAAUCUUUUAGCAUAUACAAGAUUAUUAUUUAUUAAUUAUUGUUAUCAUUGAUGUCCCAUGCCAAAGAGCCUUUCUCUUUUUAUAAAUAUUACUCUUUUACAAUGAAAAAAGAUGUUCACAUUCAGAGCAUCCUUUUUCUUCUUACUUUAUUUCCUAGUAUUAUUUAAAAUAAAACAUUUUUUAUAUUACACAUUUACAGUGAAAAGUUUAAUAUUAAUUAAGCAAAUAAACUACUUUUUCCUAUGGUACAUAAAAGUAAUGCUAUAAAUAUAAGCUAAAUUACUAAUUAACUUGUAUUGAAUUAAUUAUAUUCGUACGUUAAACUAAUUAAAUACUAUAUAAUCGAAAGUUGGUGAAAUGUUUCAUCAAUUAUUUCUAUUUGCUAAAUAAGUACUUUAUCUGCUAAUAACUAUUGUAUUAUUAAACUAUUGCUUAAAUGUAUGUUCUCUUAUUUCUUCCAUAAAGUGGCAAAAGGUUUGUUUUUUAUUCCUGCACUGAACUGAACUAAUUCUGCACUAGAACUGAGCUGGUGUAAACGAGAACUGAGAAUGCAGACGGGAAUAGAAAACACUACAGUGCAAAGCAGUGCAACAAUAAUAUGGCGCGCCACAUUUUG